GCCUCCUCACUGUAACAGAGGGCUGGAGAUAAAAGGACCGACACUCACUCCUCCCACUAGUCAGUACAUUGAAUUACUCUGUCGGUGUAAGUAUCCGUACUCACGCAGGGGAGGCUGAGUUAACAGAGAAGAGAGGGGGAAAGAAAAACCCGGACGGAGCGGCUGAAAGAUAAAGGAGAUAGGAGUUAUUUUAGCUAGGACAUACACCGGUCACAGCGUCCGCACUCAGCCGGCAUUUUUCUCCUUUGUUUUCUUGGUGAAACUUCGGCUCCUCAUCCGUUACCGCUGGCACGGGGUGUCCCCGUUUGACUGUUGACUCGGGGGCUUUUUUUUUUUUCUUUCAGCGGAAAAGAAACUUUUUACACGGAACCUUCGAGCCAGCUGAAAACAAAUAAAAGCACCCAGAAAGGAUCCUUCGUAGCCAGUGGGAUGUUAGAGCUCUGGAAGCCGGACUGACUGAAGGAGCAUGGUGAAACACCAACCCCUCCAAGUCUAUGAGCGCCAGCUUUGUUUGUCAUGCAUCACUGGGAUCUAUGGUUGCAGAUGGAAACGCUAUCAACGCUCCCAUGAUGACACCACCAAGUGGGAGCUUCUGUGGUCCCUGAUCCUCCUCCUUACCUUCUGUCUCCUGCUUGUCUGGUUCUACUUCUGGUGGGAGGCACAUAAUGACUACAGCGAAUUCAACUGGUUCCUGUACAACCGCUCUGGGGAGUGGAGUGAUGGCACUGUUCCCAUCCUAGCCACCACCGCUGCUGGCUUCACCUAUAUUGCUUUUCUAAUUGUUUUAGCACUUUGCCACGUUGCACUUGGGCAGCAGUUAAAUUUGCACUGGCUUCAUAAGAUAGGAGUUACUGUUGCCUUGCUCACCACCAUCAUUGGGGUCAUAUCUGUCAAUCAAACAUGGGCGCAAGAGUGGGAUGUCAUCCCCAUCUCCCUGCAGGCUACAGGCCCGUUCCUGCACAUCGGGGCUCUCGCUGCAGUCACGGCACUAUCUUGGAUUGUGGCUGGACAGGUCACCCGUGCAGAAAAAAUGAUGUUCCAGGUGGUGGUGGUUUUGCUGUAUGUCAGUGUGUUACUAGCACUCUACAUGGUGCCCCUACACAUCACCUCUCCCUGUAUCAUGGACCCAGCCACCCUCAAACCACGCCCUAAUGUUAUUGGCCAUCAGGGAGCCCCUAUGCUUGCUCCAGAGAACACACUUUGGUCCUUCCAGCGAGCGCUGCAGAUGAACGUCACUGGGUUGGAGGCUGACGUGGCUAUCAGCAUGGAUGGUGUUCCUUUCCUGAUGCGUGACUUGACCCUGCGAAGGACCACAGACGUAGAGAAGGUUUUUCCAGACAGACAGAUGGACGAAGCCUCACUUUUCAAUUGGACGGAUCUGCAGCAGCUCAACGCUGGACGUUGGUUCCUCAAGGAUGACCCCUUCUGGACAGUGCACACGCUGUAUCAACAUGAGAAGGAACGGAUCGCCAACCAGACCGUGUGCAGCCUGGAGCAGCUUCUAAAACUAGCCUCAUAUCACAACAGCACGGUGGUUUUCAGGCUGCGGAGACCUCCUCCCAAGCACCCCUGCUACGACAGCUGGAUCAAUGAUACACUACAAGCUGUGCGGCAAUCUGGGGUUCCUCAAAGCCUGGUGAUGUGGACGCCUGAUGAGAAUAGAACCCAGGUGAGACAGCUAGCACCUGAUCUGAUCCAGACCUCAGUGGUGAAACGGAGCCAUCAAAUUCUGCAGCAGUCCGGCAUCAGCAGCCUGCUGCUCAGAUACAACCAAGUCAGUAGAGAGGAAAUCGGGAACUUCUCCGAGGCCCACAUCAAUCUCACCCUCUACACAAUCAACGAGCCCUGGCUGUACUCGGUGCUCUGGUGCAGCGGGGUGUCAUCAGUCUCCUCAGAGGCCCCGCAUGUCCUCCUAAAGGUGCCUUACCCCAUCUGGUUAAUGAGACCAAAUGAGUACUGCCUGGCGUGGGUGUCCGCAGACCUCAUCUCGUUCGCUGUAGUCAUAGGCAUAUUCAUUUUCCAAAAGUAUCGGAUGAGCGGUAUGCGCAGCUACAACCCUGAACAGAUCAUGCUGAAUGCUGCGGUCAGGAGGUCCAGUGGAGACAUCAACGUCAUGAAGGAGAAGCUUAUUUUCUCUGGUCACCCCCAGUAACAGCCUCCCUCCUACAUCCUCCGUGUGAUGUUCAGCACCUUUUCAUCCUUCACAAGCAGUGACUUCUUCCUUUGUCCCCUUCAUCCGUUGCAUCCCUUGUUACCUUCCACCUCUCUGCCUACUUUGCCCUUUUUCCUCAUCAUCAUACCUGCAUCCAUCCAUCCCUUCACACACCUGUCCUCCCCCAAAAUCCUGCCAGGGGAAAGUCAUGUCCCAGUCUGUGUAGACAGCCUUUGGUACUGGAGGUCAAAGGUGAGUGAUAGGUGAGGAACGGAGUUGGCAGUGCCGAGGAGCUUUAUGGAGACAGCUACGACUACUACGCCAAUCAGGGCAUCAGCCAGUGAUCUCGGCCUCACAGGAUGAAAACAACACUACUCAGCGAUCCCGUCAUUCCAGUUUAUCAGUGUAAAAGUGUCUCUCUGCCUCUGCUGCCCCAAUUAACUGGCAGACUGCAGUAUUUUUGUGUAUACUCUGUAAAUAGUACAAUUUUUCUCCCCCUCACACAUACUGUACAAUAUCAAAGAGCACUUUGUACUGAUUGAAUUUUGUUGUCUCCUCCUCCUCUCACUUCCAAAUGUUCCUCUGAGUUCCCAUGGCCUGUUUCUUUACAAAGAUCAACUUUCUUUAUUUCUUUCGAGCUAAUUUCCCAAAGCAGUUCAUUCUUUUAAGCGCCGUCAGAUAUUCAGAUGAAUUUUCUUCUUUUAUCGUGGCUUUAUCGCAGCAUGGGGCUAAUAGCUUACAGCCCAUUGUAUCCUGCCUCCUGGCAGCACUAUGCUGUAGUUUAUAGUAAACUUACCAACAGUAAUGUUUAUAUUUAAAUAGAAAAGAAAAAAAAAACUCAGAAGCUGUUUACAGAAGUCCUGCCUUCUCCUCCAGGUGACAAACUCACAUGGUGUAUGUAAGAGAAUUAUUUUGAUAGAGGCUCAAAGCCCUCCUGUCCUACCAAUGCAUGUAACUCCAAGUAUCCCUUCUACUGACUCAUGAGAGCUGUGCUCCCAGUACAACUGGUUUAAAUGGUCCAGGGGGGUGAAGCCUUGUGCUCCUGUUUUUAUGGUUAAUGGUGAAUGUACAUUUUUAAUGUGUAUUGUGUGUUUUCUGACUGGGUAUAUAACUGUGUGCAGUGCUGAGUGUGUAACUGUAUGUAAAAGUGACUAAUGCUUGAGAUGCUCUAGCCCACAAAGGCAUCUGAACUUACGUGACAGUUUAGCAAUAGUCUGGUCCUAUUAGAUUCCACUUCCUGUACAGCCUUCGAGUUCAAGUACAGCAGUCAAGUCUUGUGGUAUUUCAGUGCUGACGAACAAAAUGCAUCUAAAGCUUGGUUGCUGGUGUGAAACUGACCGCUGUUAGGUAGAUGAAGUGGGCGCCAAAUGUGAAAAUGAAGCUGUAAGUUAAUCAAAGGGAUACGACUGGUAUCAGAACAGGUCAAGAGAUGGAUUACCUUUUUGUGUUUUCUUAUGUUGGGUAUUACUGUGCCUCAGAAGCAAAUGUUAUAAACUCUAAAUUAAAGUCUUAAGGAAUGAAAUAAAA